rnacentral:rRNA from 1 species
AGUGAACGCUGGCGGUAGGCCUAACACAUGCCAGUCGAACGGCAGCACAGUAAGAGCUUGCUCUUACGGGUGGCGAGUGGCGGACGGGUGAGGAAUGCAUCGGAAUCUACUUUUUCGUGGGGGAUAACGUAGGGAAACUUACGCUAAUACCGCAUACGACCUACGGGUGAAAGCAGGGGAUCUUCGGACCUUGCGCGAUUGAAUGAGCCGAUGUCGGAUUAGCUAGUUGGCGGGGUAAAGGCCCACCAAGGCGACGAUCCGUAGCUGGUCUGAGAGGAUGAUCAGCACCACUGGAACUGAGACACGGUCCAGACUCCUAGGGGGGGCAGCAGGGGGGAAUUUGGGACAAGGGGCGCAAGCCUGAUCCAGCCAUACCGCGGGGGUGAAGAAGGCCUUUGGGUUGUAAAGCCCUUUUGUUGGGAAAAAAAAGCGGCAGGUUAAUCCCCCGCUGUUCUGACGGUACCCAAAAAAAAAGCCCCGGCUAACUUCGU